rnacentral:rRNA from 1 species
AACGAACGCUGGCGGCAUGCCUAACACAUGCAAGUCGAACGAAACCUUCGGGUCUUUUGGCGCACGGGUGCGUAACGCGUGGGAACCUGCCCUUAGGUUCGGCAUAACUCCCCGAAAGGGGUGCUAAUACCGGAUAAUAUCUUCUGACCAAAGAUUUAUCGCCUUUGGAUGUGCCCGCGUUGGAUUAGCUAGUUGGUAGGGUAAAAGCAUACCAAGGCGCCGAUCCAUAGCUGGGUUGAGAGAAUGAUCAGCCACACUGGGACUGAGACACGGCCCAGACUCCUACGGGAGGCAGCAGUGGGGAAUGGUGGACAAUGGGCGAAAGCCUGAUCGAGCAAUGCCGGGUGAGUGAUGAAGGCCUUAGGGUUGUAAAGCUCUUUUACCCGGGAUGAUAAUGACAGUACCGGGAGAAUAAGCUCCGGCUAACUACGUG